GGCGCCCUAGCUCAGUUGGUAGAGCAGAGGACUGAAAAUCCUUGUGUCGCUGGUUCGAUUCCGGCGGGCGCCACCA
rnacentral:tRNA from 3 species